rnacentral:lncRNA from 1 species
GUUCGAUUCAAUUACUGAAUGAAUUAGUAGACGGAUAAGAUCUAUUUAUAUAUAUAAGUAUAUGCAGUAGACUCAUAGUGGCUAGUAGCUCUCAGGAAUGAGAAUUCUAAUUUACUUAACGUGUAGAGGGUAAAAUGGUUUUAUUGGUAUUGGGUUUGAUAAAUAUCAAUGCAAUGAAUUGUUUCAAGGCCAAUCAUAAUUGGCUUAUCAGAACAGAACGAAAUUCAUUUAUUUGAUUAAUACAGGUACCUUAGCAAUUCGACAUAGAUCCAAUCUAUUUUAUCGAAACAUGUGAUGAAGGGAUUUGCUUUGUCCACCGAACCCAAUUUUUAGUUUUAGAAAAAAACACACACACACAUAAUUUUCGAUAACUUCUUGCUGCCUCUUCCAAAAAUUCCCGAUUUACUUUUUGUUAAUUUACCGGCUUAGUGUGAGAUAGAAACAUGC